UGUGUUAGGACCUGCACUCCUGUACUUCCUGUGAACUGCCCAGGGAUAGAGUUCAACUGAGCCCAGGCAUCAAUCUGAAGAAAAAGAAGCCAUCUUCAUUAAGUAAAAAUGCUACAUGUAAAAAAAUAAACCAUAGUCUAUGUAUUAAGAUUCUUGGAAAAUGAGAAGAUUCAAAAGGCAAAGAGGACACUCCUGGAAAAUAGAAGACAGUUAAGAUUCAUACAAAUAUCGUGGAAAUUCUGUAGUCACUCCUUUCUGAGGAUGAAGCUGGCUGGUUUCUGGGAAGGAAGACGAUUCUAUGGCAGGGGAACACCAUCUUGAUGAGUUGUUUUCCACACACAUGGAUUUACGCAGUUUCGUCCAUGUCAGCACACUCACGUGCAAGACAGUUGUGGGAGUAGGAAUAACAAGGAUAAUUUAGCCCUUGUGAAGAUAAAAUUCUGUCAUCUUUGCUAAAAUGUUUUGUGGUCAAGACUGAAGAUCCGUAAACUUCAGUUAUACUUAUUAAAACAAAAAAGACUGAUUUUAAAAAAGAUUACCUUGCCACUUAGAAAAAAAAUUUUGCAUUACUCUUUAAAAAAAAUUUUAAAAAACCAAAAGCAAAAACAAAAAACAACAUCAUUUGGAACUCUACUGAAAUCAGGUCAGUGCUCCUCUGGUAGAAAGAACACCAGCUCUACAAAUAAAGGAAACUUAGAUGGUAACUAUUAUCAACUUUUCUUAGGUGUCUUUAACAUUGCUACAGAAAUAGAUAGAUGAAAGCAAAACAGUCCUAGCCUUCCUAAAGUUUGGGAUUCUUUUCAUUACUACUGAAAUUACCUUCUACCUAGCAUCUAGAUCUUUGUAUAAGUAGCUCAGCUCUCACACUGCACCUUCCCCACAGACUUCUGCUUUAUUCAUCUGACCAACUGGCAGAGCUUUCCUUCUGUUUCAGUGUUUCUGUCCUCUCUGAACACUGCCCCCUUAAUUAGAUUCUAACCUUUGAUGGGAGACAAGGCUAGAGCAUCACUUACAAUUUUGAGACUGAAAAUGGCAGUCAUAUAUUUUAAAUAAACUUUCUCGUUCAAACAGCAUAAUCAACAUGCACUAAGCACUUUCCCCAUGACUCAACAGAAGCUAAAACUUAUAAUCAUUUACUCAAAAAAAUGUUAGAUUUCUACAAAAAGUCUUUGCUACAACGGAGAUUCUCUCUGGCUAUGUUCUUCCCAACUGUUUAAAUAAUAAUCUGAAAUAAACUACUAAAAGCAUAUAUAUAUCAGGACAUCUAAUUUUGUACAACCCUCACCUGGUUUAUAUUCAGCUACUACAAGAAGAUUAAAUUAGCUGCAGAUGUCAGUUAGCGUUCCCUCCUAAGAUGUGGAAGUAGCCCGCCCGAUUUGGGGAUUAGUAUAUGAGCACUGAACUUGCUUCAACUUAAAGUCCAAACCAGAUACCCUUCUCCUCACUGGUGAUGUUUUGAUUUGAUUCAGUUGCUGAACUCUGUGUGACUACAGACCAUCACCUUUAACUGUAAAUAAGUUAUCUACACUGGCCAGUUACGUUCAUCAGUAUUACUAUUUAGAACUGUUCCCAUUCAAAAUGCCGCAGGUCAAAAAAACACAGUGAAAAUGUCGCCUGUGAUUAUCUCUGGGGAAAAGUACUACAUGAAAAAGUUUCUGAUUUGAGCUCUAUUUACUUUGACUUUAUAAACAAGAUUUAUUUGUAGAAUUGGAAGUGUCUACUGGAAAAUGUUUAUGGCCAAUGUAGGGAACCUCAAGUGAAGAGUCGAGGUCUCUCAGACCUACAUAUCCCAGAACUGCAAGAAAAAGGAGUCCAUAAGGGCAUCAGGUAUCUAUGGACGAAUGUCAAGGCUUUGGAAACCGAGGGCAAGGUGACGACUGUUAGUCUCUAACUCCCACCUCCCCUAGUCAAGUCUCCACCCUCCCAGAUCCCCAAGCGUGAUUUUGCACAACAAGUUAAAUAAAAGUAAACUGUUUAUUAAAAGACACAGCAAAGAUACAGAUACAGAGAUACAUACAAAGAUACAGAUAUAUAUAUAUUUACAUAUAUAUACAGUUUUGCUGUUCUCAUGUGCACUGUACUUAGCAGCACAUUACUUAAUCAGGCGGCAUUUUAAUGGGGUUGUUUUGACAUUUGGCAUUGUUACUGCGUCCUUUUGACAAGAUACAACUAUUGCCUUGAGAGAUUUCAAUGUGUAAAUUUCACUCCUCCAACUUUCAAUAGUAGCAAAGAGGGGAAAGAGUAGGGAAUGGAGAACCAAGGCUGAACACUAGGUUAAACACAAGAAUUCAAAAGGGCUAAGGUAGCACAAGGAAGGGAAAAUUAUUGAAAUCAAAGGCUAUCUGAAAACCCAGAGAAAUAUUAAGAAACCAUCACUUAAGGGCAAUGGGCUAUGUGCCCACGAUGUUCACAUCAACCUGCAAUGACUUUUUCAAUCCAGUUCUUGUGUUGAACCUGAGGAUCUGCCUUCUCUCCCCUGAAUCCCUCCACCCAACAUACUUGCUACCACCAAAAUCUAGAGCUAUAGAGCCUAGAAGCAAAACGGGAAGCUAAAUAGUUGUACCUUGGGCUCCCUUCCCACAAGUGCAUGGAGGGCCCAAUGUUGGGUAGGGAUGUGAUAACACUUUUCUCUGCAAUUCGAUGCUUUUCACUUUGUGGCUUCGUUCCACAAAGUGAAUUGCAUCGAGUUACUGUCAAAUGAGAAGCUGCGGGUUGUUUCAUCUGUCGUUUAACCCGGCCCUGCCGUUUAACCCGGCCCUAAGAAGAGUGAAACAGAAUCCAAAUCAGAUAUAAAAUAACAAUAAAAUGGGAGAUUCAGACAUAAAAACAAACACACAUAUUCCUACUACUUACCUCUGAGGGCAAGCUGCUGCUGAAAACAUUAUCGUCAUCCUUGUUUUCUUCACCGUUUUUCUCUACAGGAACCCAUUCUCCAUAAACACUAUCAGCUUCUUUUUUCCGAUGCUGAGAUCCAGAUGACACAGGAAAUUCCUUUGUUAAUGUUACUUGGCUUUUUGGUGGAGUUGGUUUUGCUGCAGCAAU